rnacentral:rRNA from 1 species
UACGGAGGGUGCGAGCGUUGUCCGGAAUCAUUGGGCGGAAAGGGCGCGUAGGUGGCGGGACAAGCGUGCGGUGAAAGCCUGGGGCUCAACCCCGGGUCGGCCGUGCGAACUGUUUUGCUUGAGCACUGUAGAGGCAGGCGGAAUUCCGGGUGUAGCGGUGGAAUGCGUAGAGAUCCGGAAGAACACCGGUGGCGAAGGCGGCCUGCUGGGCAGUAGCUGACACUGAGGCGCGACAGCGUGGGGAGCAAACAGG